CUGUGCUAAGUGGGGAGCUAGCGGUGCCCUGUAACCUGUAACCCGCUAUAACAGGACUGAAUCCCUUUCCGAGGAGCCCAAAUGGGAGGUUAGUUGUCAGCGGUUUGGCUUUAAGGGCUUGGGCCCUGUGCAAUAUAAAUCUGUGAACCCCGUCAGAUCCGGGAGGAAGCAGCGGUAAGCAGAACCUUAUAUGUGCCGCAGGUCAACCUGAGCCUUGUCGGCUGUUGAUAAACACUCACCAUUUACUUCGAAGAAAGGUGCACAG
rnacentral:SRP_RNA from 1 species